UACGAAGGGGGCUAGCGUUGUUCGGAAUUACUGAGCGUAAAGCGUGCGCAGGCGGCUUCUCAAGUCAGGGGUGAAAGCCCAGAGCUCAACUCUGGAAUUGCCUUUGAGACUGAGAAGCUUGAGUACGAGAGAGGUGAGUGGAAUUCCCAGUGUAGAGGUGAAAUUCGUAGAUAUGGGGAGGAACACCGGUGGCGAAGGCGGCCAUCUGGACGGAUACUGACGCUGAGACGCGAAAGCGUGGGGAGCAAACAGG
rnacentral:rRNA from 1 species